GAGAGGUGUUGGUGGCCUCCCCAUGCCUCUUCCCCCGCGAGAAAGAAGGCAGCAAGCAGCCUUCAGCGAGAUCUCCAGUGGCAGUGGGAGAGACAAGAAGGAGCAGAAUGGUGGGAGAUCCAAAUCACGAAGCUAAGUGGGUAGGACAGGGACACUUGCACGGAGAACAGGAGAACAUCACUUUUAUAAACAUGUGGGGGUGGAUAGAAAAACUCAAAUAAUUUAGCAGUUACCAGGCAAGACGAAGAGAACUUUCAAAGUUUUUUGCCAAAAGAGAAAAAAAAAGGCAUUCGAAGAUUUGGGAUGGUUGAGGGAGCUGUUAAUUACAGGAAUCCUUGUUCAAUCGCAUGUCUUGAAUGGAUGGAUACGAGGAUCGAAAGGGGUUAAGGAUUAACAUGCCAAGGAGAAUUGGAUUCCAUGGUCUGAGAGGGACCUAACUCUCCAGGUACUUCGAUUUAAUUAUCAAAUUAGUAUAGAUUGUUUGCAUUUGCAUAGCUACAUUGAGUUGCUUUCAGUGACUAGUAAAACUGCAUUUGCACUGCUCAUGGUUCAUUUAUUAUUUUCUGAUGCAGAGAUUAUACAUGCAUGUCAUUGUCAUUUUGUUCUUCUGGAACAAAGUCAUUUUUACUUGAUGAUUAAUUAACCUUUUAUUUCAUGAAAAUGAAAUUUUAGUCUGCCAUAUCUUUCUGUUGCAGGUUUGAGCAUUAACGAAUCUUUUCAUUCUGUAAAGAAAAAAUAUAUUGAACUUGAUUACAUGCAACUAAAAGAUUAAUACUCAUCUACAUCCUCAUAUAUAAUGCUGUUGUAAAGAAUCUACCAAAACCAUGUGGCAACAGCAGGGCUGCCUUCAUCAUUCAUUGUACUCUGCAUUCAAUCAACUAGUGUUACUAUCUGAGCCAUAACAACAGACAAGAUGUCAUAAAAAACAUUGCAUCAUUGUGAUCUGUACAGUAUCUGUCAUUUUAGCAGACUAUAAAUGAAGAACAUCAUCUAACAAGAGCACAUGAACUCAUGAAACAUUUAUCUUCUUUUCUUUUUCUCCAAUGAUAUCAUUUUGUAGCUACUUUUUUAAUCUUUUGAUAGUUAUAAAAUAUUAGUCUAUUUCAUUCCCACUUGGCAUUUUAACUGCCUAUCUAUUUUGAAUUUAUAAUAGAUAUAAUACAAGUAGUUUGACCAAAAUAGACAGAUGAUUGAAAUGAAGACUAUAUAGAUGGCACGAUUCCCUAAAUUGAGCUCAUACAUUAUGCAUCUCUAUAGAUAAAAUAUUAGUGUGAUCAAAUUGGAUCUAAUUAGUUCAAUUGUAAGAGAUGGUGGCAUGUCAUAUUUGACUCCUAAAACAGAACACUUAGCAUAUAUCAAUGGCAUGGGAUCGUGGAGUACGUUUAGAUAGUCAUAGUCAAUCCUUAAGUGCACAAAGUCAAGACCAACAGUCCACUAUUCCUUGAGCUAAAGAAAGAGUAUAUCAAGUAAUUGAUGAUGAUGAUGAUGAUGAUGUGGUCCAAAAAUCCACGGCGUGCCGUAGGGUGCAGUGGUUGGAAUCUCAGCCUAGGAAAAUGAAUUCCACCACCUACCGCCAUCGUGCUGAUAGGCCACAUUUCCUGAUUGCCUCUUGCCCUAAUUCAUUAUUUGUUAUUGCUAUCAUGGAUUCCACAAGAGAAAUCAUCUCAUCUUCCAUCGUUCCACGAUAAAAUAGAGUGCUGUUAGAGUUCUUAUGACAUCGGAUCAGAUUAUAGUCACCUAUGUCAAUUUCAAGAUCGGAUGAAAAAGAUAGAACGUUGAGUCCACAAUCGAUCCCAAAUAGUUAAGAUUUUAUGAUUUUUUUAUUAUUAUAUUAGAUCAUAUUACCUUCUUUGAUAAAUAGUAAAUCAAAAUAUUAUGGAUUCAUCUUUGAUCCUUUUUUUUCUUAAGAUAUUUAACUACAUAAAAAAUAAAAAAAAUGAAGGAAAUAAAAAACCAUGUGAUUCUUAUUCCUCUACCCAUAAUCAUGAUGAGAUGAGGAGAA